UUACGGCCAUGUCGCGUUGAAACACCGGUUCCCGGUACGAUCACCGAAGUUAAGCAACGUCGAGCCUGGUCAGUACCUAGAUGGGUGACUGCUUGGGAAUACUAGGUGUUGUAA